CGCACCUUGCGCUCCUUGGUAUUCCGAGGAGCAUGCCUGUUUGAGUGUCGUGAAAUUCUCAAUUCAACUCUUUCUUAAUUGAAAAAGUUGAAUUGGACUUGGGGACUUGCUGGUUUUGUAUCGGCUUCCCUUGAAUUCAUUAGCUGGAGUAUGACUUUGCAGCAUAUAUGCGGUGUGAUAAUGUCUUCACUGUGUAGCUCAAGCCUUUCUAGCUUCAAACCGUCUUUGAAAAGAGACAACUUUGACUAUCAGACCUCAAAUCAGGUAGGACUACCCGCUGAACUUAA
rnacentral:misc_RNA from 1 species